GAUCGGAACCCAAGGGGGUCGAGGGUGUUUGCCCUCCCAGCCCCCGGUGGAGAGAGUUUGCCUCGUCGGUGUUGUCUCUCUGUGGCUUUUGGUGCCCGAGCCCAGCCCGCAGAAGGGUGCAACUCACUCCCCACUGGUUCUGGCCGCCCGCUGGCCCUGCGCAAGGCUGGCCUUCCUCGGCCUGCCUGGCUCCGAGGGCCUACGUCCCAGCCACGGUAGUUAAGGGGUGUGAGCUAAUGAGGUGUUGCAGGCAGGCGGCACUUUAGAACCAGCGGCACCCCAUUAUUCUGUAGCAAUUUGUGGAUAUGAAAACCACGUUUCGGAUGCCGCCACCAAAUCAUCUUCUGCUUCCAUCGGCUGUCCCCAAAUCUCACAUACUGAUGGUAGUCAGGAAAUCACAGCUUUUACUGUGUCGACUCUUACUGGGAGUAAUUUUAACAAAUUCUGUCAGGAUAGAUUAACUUUUAGUAGAUAAAUGUAACUCAGCAUUUUUUCUCUUUAUUUAUUUUUGCUUUGUAAAACUGAGAUGGCAGCUUUGCAUAGAAUAAGUUCAAGAUUUUUCACUAGCACAAGUUCGUUUCUGCUAAAGCUUGUGCUUUGGGGCUCCAGAAUCUUAGUUGGGUACCCACGCUUCCAAGGUCCUAUGACUGACCUCUAGAGUUUGAAUAUUUAUGUAAUUGUUUUUCUCAGUAAAUUUUCUAAAGCUUUCUAAUAAGCCGUCAAAUCAACAAACUCAAAAACAUUUGUUGACCAUGUGUAUGUCUUUACAAUCGUAAGAGAUAUGUCUAAGCACUAUUGAGACCUGUUCUCCAGCUGAUAAAUACAAUCCAGUCGUACAGAGAAUAAAAGAAUUGAAAGAAACAUCCAAGUUUAUCUGGUGCAAACACAGGACCUGUGCUUGAGUACCCCCCACCCCGACAUUUCUGCUAAGUGGUCAUGCAGCCUCAUGGAAUACUUGAGGAAGCCUGUAAUGUUUGCCCUCAGCUCUCUUAGAAAAGCCCUCUUUGUACUGAACUGAAACGUACCUCCCUGAAACUUUUACACACUGGUUCCGGCUCUCCCAUCUGGGCCCACACAGCUAAAUGGGAUUCCUCUUCCUUAAGACAGAGCUUUACUCAUUUGGAGAUGGCUUUACGUCCCCUUAACUCUUCCUUUCUCCGGGUUAAACUUAGCUACUUCGCACAGUGUGGCAGUGCCUAGACUCCUCACCAGCCUUGUAGCCUUUCUCUGGAUGGGACCCAGUUUCCCAAUGGCCACCCACCCCCCAGCAAGCAGAGUUCGUUUCCAGAAGGGGAUUCCACACUCACUCCGUGGGUUCCGACCAGCACACGGCAGGACUGGCACAUCCUGUAUGUUAAAUAAUUUGCUUCUAUUAAUGCAACGUCAGAAGACAAGCAUUUGGAGGGCAGGUACAGCACACCAUUCUGUUAGCUUUCCACAUUAUCUCAUGUAUUAGUUUCUAGGGCUGUCAUAACAAAAUAUCACACACUAGGUGUCAUAAAACCACAAAGAUUUAUUUUCUCACAGUUCUGGAGGCCAAAAGUCUGAGAUUAAGGUAUCAGCAGGUUUGGUUUCUUCUAAGGCUGCUCUCCUUGGCUUGCAGAUGGCCACCAUCUUGCUGUGUGCUCACAUGGUCAUCCCUCUGUGUGUGCAAGUGUCUGGUGUCUCCCUCUGUGUGUGUGUGUGUGUGUGUCCUAAUCUUUUUUAUAAGGACACCAGUUAUAUCGGAUUAGAGACCACUCUAACAAGCCCAUUUUAACUUUAUUCCCUCUUUAAAGGCCCUGUCUUGAAAUACAGUCACAUUCUGAGGUACUGGAGGUUGGUGGGGGGGGACACAAUUCAGUGUCCAGUGUUACACUCAUUUUACAGGCGAGGAUGCUAAAGACAAAGGAGUUCAAUCCAUUUACUCACGACCACCCAGCCAGUGGAGGCAUCAGAUUAAAUCUAAAGCAGUUCAGUUCCAUCCUAAUGGUUUUCCCAAUACAUCACAGCUAUUGCUAUGAACACCUUCCACCUCAAGGAUUCUAGAAUGAAGGCUGCAGGAGUUACUAAAUUGAACUCCUCUUUCUAGUUGCACUGGGGACUGAAUGAGAUCUUACAGAUCAUCUCCUGCAGCAAUGAAGAAACCACCAGAGUCACCAGACAGAGAAUAAGAUGACCACUUCAGCUAAUGCUGUUCCAGCCAAAUGCUGUGUACAUUCCCAGCAUUCUAGGAAAGUGCUUAAAAUAUCUCAGACAGACGUCCCAUGAAUCUAACUCUUCCUCUUGACAUAGAACAGUGUGAGAGAAUGCCAGAUAAAACAGCAGAUCCAGUCCUGCAAUACUCAAAAUGUCCAGGUUUCAAUUCAAAAUCACACUUCGUGUCAAGAACCAAGAAUAUCUCGAACUGAAUGAAAAAGACAAUAGGUGUCAAUGUGAGGAUGACAAAUGUUAGAAAUAUCUAAAGAUCUUAAAGAAGCCAUGAUAAAAAUGCUUCAACAAGCAAUUAUGAACACACUUGAAACAAGCAAAAUAUAAAAUUGUCUUGGCAAAUAGAAAGCCUCAAAAAAAAAAUACGAGAUAUAAAGAAGAACCAAAUGUAAAUUUUAGAACUGGAAAACACAUUAACAAAAAUAAAAAGCUCAGUGGAUGAGCUAAACAGCAGAAUGGAGGGGACAGAAGAAUCAGUGAACUGUAAGACAGAACAAUAAAAAUUACCAACUCUGAGAAAUAGAAAAUUACCAAAAAAAAAAAAAAAAAAAAAAUAGCAGAGCCUCAUGGACCUGUGGGACUAUAACAGAAGUUCUAACAGUCAUGGCAUGUCCCCAGAGGAGAGAAGUAAGAAGGUAGGGCUGAAAAAGUGCUCAAGGUAAUAAUGGCUGAAAACUUUUCAAAUUUGGUAAAGAGCUAACCCUACAUAUUCAAGAAGUUGAGUGAACCCCCCCAAAAGAGUAAACCCAUAGAAAUCCAUAAGACAUAUCAUAGUCAAACUUCUAAAACUGAAGAAAAGAAAAAAAUUCUUGAUCAGAGAAUGAGAAAAUAAGCCACAGACUGGGAGAAAACAUUUGCAAAAGAGUGGCUAUAUUAAUAUGAGACAAAGUGCACUUCAGAGCAAAAAUGACCAUAGACAGGACCAUCAUAAACUUAAAAGAGAGUCAAUCCACUGAGAAGACAUAGUUCUAAACAUCUAUGUAUAAACAACAGAAUUACAAAAUAUAUGAAGCAAAAACCAAUAGAACUAGAAAAAGGAAUAAAAUCACAGUUGCAGCUGGAGACUUGAACACCCUUCUCUCAACAAUUGAUAGGACUUCUAAAAAGAAAAUCAACAAAGAUACAGAAAAACUUAACACCAUCAACUAACAGGAUCUAAUCAACAGUUACAGAAAACCCCAGCCAGCAGCAGCAGAACACACAUUCUUUUCCAGCACUCAUGGAACAAAUAGCAAGAGAGAUCAUAUCCUGGUCCAGAAAAUAAACUCAGGACAUUUAAAUUAUUGAAAUCAUACAAAAUGUGUUCUCUGACCACAAAAGCAUCAAACUAGAAAACAAUUACAAUGAUACCAGGAAAAUCUCCAACAGUUAGAAAUUAAUCAGAACUCUUCUAAACAAUCCCUAAGUCAACGUCUCAAAGGAAAAUUUUUAAAAUACAUUGAAUUUAAUUAAAAUAAAAUGUCAGAUUUGUGGGACACAGCAAAAGCAGUGCUGAGAGGGAAAUUUAUAGAAUUAAGUACAUUUAAAAAGGCAAAAAUCUCAAAUCAGUAAUCUAAGCUCUCACCUUAGAAUAACCUAGAAAUAGAGCAAAAUUAAACCCAAAGCAAACAAAGAAAAUCGAAGAACAGAAAUCAAUUCAAAUAAAAUUGAAAAAUUCUCUGAAAAAUUCAAUAAAAUAGACAAACCGCUAACAAGACUGAUAAAGAAAAAAGAGAAGACACAAAUUACCAAUAUCAUGAAUGAAACAGCAAUAUCACUACAGACCCUGAAGACAUCAAAAGGAUAAUAAGGGAAUGCUAUGAGCAACUUUACACAAAGUUUGACAACUUAGAUAAACGGACCAAUUCCUCCAAAAACACAAACUACCACAACUCACCCAAUAUGAAAUAGAUCAUUUGAAUAGCCCAUAAUCACUAAUGAAAUUAAAUUCGUAAUUUUAAAACUCUCCCCCCAAAAUCUCCUGGCUAAAUGGUAACACUCAAGAAUUUCACAAAUGCUUAGACAAGAAAUAACACCAAUUCUACACAACCUCUUCCAACAAAAUGGAAGAGAAGGGAACGCUUCCCAGUUUAUUUCAUGAAGUUAGUGUUACCACAAUACCAAAACAAAGACAGUGUGAAACAAACCAAACCUGCAGAAUAAUGUCACUCAUGAAUAUAGAUGUAAAAAUCCUUAACAAAACGUUAGCAAAUUGCAUUCAACAGUAUAUAAAAAGAAUUAUGCACUACAACAAAGUUGGAUUUAUUCCAAGACUGCAAGGCUGAUUCAGUACUUGAAAAUCAAUCACCAUAUUAAUAAUCCAGCACAUUAGCAAAUUGAAGAAAAGCACAUGAACAUAUAAAUCAAUACAGAAACAGCAUCUGACAAAAUUCAACACCCAUUCAUGAAUAAUACUUUCAGAAAAAUAAAAAUAAAGGGGAACUUCCUCAACUUGAUAAAGAGCAUCUACAAAAAAAUCUACAGCAAGCAUUACACCUAAGUGAAAGACUACAUGCUUUCUCCCAAGAUCGGGAACAAGGCAAGCGUGUCCAUUCUCACUGCUCUUAUUCAACAUCAUGCUGGAAAGCAAGAAAAGAAAAUAAAAAGCAUAAGAUUGGAAAAGAAGAAACAAAACGAUCCUUAUUCAUAGAUGACAUGAUGGUUUAUAUAGAAAAUCCAAAGGAAUCUAUGUAAAUCUUCUAAUAAGUGAGUUUAGCAAGAUCACAGGAUACCAGAGCAGCAUACAAAAAUCAAUCAGAUUUCUAUAUAUUAUCAAUGAACACAUGGUCACUGAAAUUUAAAAAUACACUACCAUUUACAAUAACUCAGAAAAACUUACAUAUAAAUCUAAUAAAACAUAUAUAUGACUUACUUGCUGAAAACCACAAAAAGCUGAUGAAAGAAAGAAGACCUAAAUAAAUAGACCUACUAUCCAUGGAUUAGAGGACUCAACAUAAUAAAGAUGUCAAUUCUCCCCCACUGAUAAACAGAUUUAUUGUAAUUCCUCUUAAAGUCUCAGAUUUUUAGUAGAUAUGGACAAGGUUAUUCUAAGAUGUAUACGGAAAGGCAAAGGAACUAGAAGAGCUAAAACAAUUUUGAAAAAGAGAAAGUGAGAGGAAUCAGUCUGCCCAGUUUCAUGACUUAUUACAUGGCUGCAGUAAUUAAGACUAUGUGAUACUGAUGAAGACAUAGACACAUACAUUAAUGGAACAGAAUAAAGAAACCAGAAAGAGACCCACAGAAAUAUGUCCAAUUAUCAUUUUCGGCAAAGAUGCAAAAGCAGUUUGAUGGAGAAGGACAGACAGCUCAACAUGAUACUGCUGGAACAAGUGGAUAUCUACAGGCAAAAAGUAAGGAAGUAACAGAGAGAGAGAGAGGGAGGGAGGAAAGGAGGGAGGGAGAAGGGGAGGAAGGAAGGAAAGACUUCAACCCAAGUCUCAGAUCUUAUACAAAAAUUAACUCAAAGUGGAUCAUGGACUUAAAUGCAAAUUGUAAUACAAUAAAGUUUUCAGGAAAAAAUCUUCAGGAUCUAAAGUUAGGCAAAGAGUUCUUAAACUUGACACCAAAAGCACAAUCUAUAAAAGAAAAAAUUGAUAAAUUGGACUUUAUCAAAAUUAAAAACUUUUGCUGUGUGAAGGAAUCUGUUAAGAGGAUAAAAUGACAAGUUAUGGGAUGAGAAAAUGCAAGUUUAAACUAUAAUGAGAUAUCAUUAUUCACCUAUUGAAUGGCUAAAAUAAGAAAUAGUGACAACACAGAAUGCUGGCAAGGAUGCAGAGAAACUGGAUCACCCAGGCAUUGCUGGUGGAAAUGCAAAAUGGUACAGUCACUCUGGAAAGCAAUUUGGCAGUUUCUUCAAAAACUAAAGAUGUAACUACCAUAUGACACAGCAAUUGCAGUCCUGGGCAUUUAUCCCAGAGAAAUUGACUUAUGUUCGUACAAAAACCUAUAUAUGGAUGUUUAUAACAGUUUUAUUCAUAAUAACCCAAAACUGAGUUAACCCAGAUGUCCUUCAACAGCUAAAAGGUUAAACAAACAGUGGUACAUCCGUACCAUGAAAUACUACUCAGCAAUGAAGAGGAAACAACUACUGAUACACACGACAACUUAGAUGAAUCUCCAGAGAAUUAUGCUGACUGAAAAAAGCCAAUCCCAAAAGGUUACAUAGUGUGUGAUUCUACUUAUAUAACAUUAAUGAAAUGACAGGAUUGCAGAAACGAAAAACAGAUUAGUGGCUGUCAAGGAUUAUAGAUGGGAUGGAGGUGGAGGAAAGUGUUUAUGGUGAUAAAAGGGCAACAUGAGGGGUCCUUCUGGUGAAGGAAAUGUUCUGUAUCUUGGCUGUCAAUGUCAGUAUCCUAGGUGUGAUACUGUACUAUAGUUUACAAGAUGUUAUCAUCAGGAAAAAUUGGGUAAAGGGCACAUAAGAUCUCUCUGUCCUACUUCUUAAAACUGUAUGUGAAUCUACAAUUAUCUCAAAAGAUUUCUAAAAAUAAAAUAAAA